rnacentral:rRNA from 1 species
AGCGAACGCUGGCGGCAGGCCUAACACAUGCAAGUCGAACGGAUCCUUCGGGAUUAGUGGCGGACGGGUGAGUAACACGUGGGAACGUGCCUUUUGGUUCGGAACAACUCAGGGAAACUUGAGCUAAUACCGGAUGUGCCCUUCGGGGGAAAGAUUUAUCGCCAUUAGAGCGGCCCGCGUCUGAUUAGCUUGUUGGUGAG